UGUAGUCUCUACUAGUGAUUUUUUGAGGCGGCCCAACAUCUUCACUUAUUAAUUGGAGGACGAGGACCCCUUAAAGCAGAGGACAUGCACGCUCACACACACACAGAGCCGUCCUCCAGAGGUGGUGCAGCAGCAGCAGCCCGCACACCACCUCACUGUUUCUAUGUAUGUGCGGGCACAGUGCAGACAGAGGUUGUAAACAUGGCGGCGGACGGGAUGGUGCUCACCAACCACGACCAUCAGACCCGAGUGGGGAUUCUGACGGUGAGUGACAGCUGCUUCAGGAACCUGGCUGAGGACCGCAGUGGAGUCAACCUGAAGGACCUGGUCCAUGAUCCCUCACUGCCAACAACAGCUUCAAAAAAACUAUUUCCCUCAAAGAAA